rnacentral:rRNA from 1 species
UACGUAGGGUGCAAGCGUUGUCCGGAAUUAUUGGGCGUAAAGAGCUCGUAGGCGGUCUGUCGCGUCUGCUGUGAAAAUCCAGGGCUCAACCCUGGACCUGCAGUGAGUACGGGCAGACUAGAGUGCGGUAGGGGAGAUCGGAAUUCCUGGUGUAGCGGUGAAAUGCGCAGAUAUCAGGAGGAACACCGGUGGCGAAGGCGGAUCUCUGGGCCGUAACUGACGCUGAGGAGCGAAAGCAUGGGGAGCGAACAGG